rnacentral:lncRNA from 1 species
UCUCUUUUCUUAUAGCCGGUGACAGUGUUACACAUGGGCAAAAGCUUGAUUUCUAAUGGCAACAAAUUAAGAAACUAUAGCAAUUGGGUGAUAAUUUGACAGCUCAAUAAAAAAGAAAAGAGAUCCUUCAAACAAAAGCAUACUCUUCCUUCUUCUGCACUCAAGAUAAUUCUCACCCCAACUAAAUCAUUGAAAAUCCCCCCACUACCACCAUAUUAUCAAGUUGCUCCUCUGGUG